AUGGGCCGAGCCGCCCGCGAGCUCAUGGAGUUCACAGAGAACGAGAGCAUGGAGAAGAACACGGAGCCGCUCCGAGACAGGGAUCGAUGUGUGGAACCCGGCGUUCGACGUCACUCCUCACCAGCUGAUCACGGGCGGCAUCAUCACCGAGCUCGGCGUGUUCCUGCCGUCCGAACUGCAGGCCGCUCUGACGGGGAGACUCACGGCUCUGUAGGGCACUCGCUCUCCUCAUGGUUUCACCUCACUGUGGUGGAAGUUGCACCUUUAACUACACACACAAGCGUCGGCACCGAGGUGUAAACAAGGUAUACUAGGCACGUUCGAUUCAACACUUACAACGUGGAAUAACACCAUGUGACACACACUUGUACAACCCAGGGAUGCUUGUAAACACACACAAACACACACACACACACACACACACACACACAAGUACGUUCUCCUUCUCUUCUGUGUGUACAGCUCAUGUCACGUCAUCUUCAUAUAAAUGAACAAUGUAUUUCUGAUAAAUUGCAUUUAUGCAAAAAAAAAAUAAAAUUAAUAUAAUAAAUAAAUAACACACAACAACACACACACACACACACACACACACACAAGUACGUUCUCCUUCUCUCUGUGUGUACAGCUCAUGUCACGUCAUCUCAUGUCUUGUUCCUUUUUCCACUCGUUUCUUCCCCUCUAUCUGGCUCAGCUCCCGUUUUUAACAGGAAGUGUCUCACAGAGGCGGUAAACAGUGUAGAGCAUUCAGAGUAUUUCAGAAUACGGGUCAACUGAUGUCCCUUAAGCAGGAACCUCGUGACAGCUGUUAAGAACACACCCGGGUCGUAUUUCACCCCAAAAUCAAAAAAUGAGAAAUUACAUUUUUUAUAAAGUAAACAAAGCCUAUUUUAGAACUGUUAAGAAAGAUGUUGCAUUGUGAUUUUAAUGGCACUUAAAUAUUUUUAAAUUCCUCCAUAUUCUCAGUAAUGUAAUACAAAAAAAAAAAUCUAUUUAACUACAUUUUAGAUUAAAAAUAUUCUAUAAUAUUAAACAAUAUUGUUGUAUUACUAAUAUUUUUACUGUAAUACUGUAAAAAUAAUUCUAUAUUACAGUAAUGAGAAUCCUAAAAAGAUAUUUUAAAAUAUUCUCAAAAGUACAUUUCAAUAACUUUUAAACGCCAGUCUUUUUUUUUUUUUGCAUUACAUUCAUUUUGAGAAUUUUGGUGGAAAAUGUAUUAGUGUCAUCUUUAUGAUCCUAAAAUGUUUUUGCAAGACUUAAUGGAAAAUGUAAUGCCAUUUCUUUUGGUUUUGAGGUGAAGUGUUUUCAUGAGACUUUCCCUUACAGGUCAAGACUGUUCAUUAGCUAUAAUAAUAGAUUUAUGUAAAAUAUAAGCCCAUUUUAGAUAAGGGCUGUACUUUAAUCUACAUAUACACGAUUUAUGCGGAUCUGAGUGCCAGUCCUUGUACAGGCAGUGCCAUAUAAACUGUCUCAUGUUACAAAAUCAAAAUGUUAUAUUAACAUUAAAAGAGAUUUGAAGCCUGCAAUCGAGCAAAUAAAACAAAUAGAGAGUAUGAGCAUUCACAUGCAGAUGUUCUUUAACCUUAUGUGAGUAAAUACAGUAUGUAAGAACAAAGUCAUUUAGACCAGAAUAGUCAAUGUACCUAAAACGAACAAUUACCGGUCAGUGAUUUGAACUUUAAGGUUGCAGGUUUAUCUCAAGCUCUGAGGCAAAAAUGAGGUACGAAUCCAGAUUAUUUUCACGUACAACCACAGCGCUGGAGUUAAACCUGCGAUGUUUCUUUAAAUCUGUAAUUCAGGCAGAUGUAUGUGAUCAAGGUGUGGGGAAAUGGUGCUAUGGAGCUAGAUGUUAGACAAUACCUCAGAAGAGAUCCCAGACUCCUCUAGUACUUCCACUCUGUUUUUAUCGUAGUUCUGUGUUGUAUUUAUUCACACGAUCACACACCAACACACGAUCGCAGUCGAGCCUGGGUUUGGGCGGAUCUUCGGCUGCGGAUCAGCGCCGUGAGUUGGUCCGGGCUUGCGCUCCGUGAAACCGAAUGUAACGAGGCCCGAGAUCCUCACUGCCUUACGAGACCAGCAAAAACACCCCGCCCACUGAUGUCCGAUUGGCUGAAUGAGACGGAGCCACGCCCACCUCUCACUUACAGCGUUCUGAAAUCACCACGGCAACCCGAUCAUAACAAACUUACUUAAAAUAACAAUGCAUGAUCAUACAGUCCAGUUUUUCACAGUCAGAGAAUCGGCGUCACAUUAAUGAACCCUAGUCAGGGUAACGUCAUAUUGAAUUUCUGACAGAAAGAAAACGAGGCUGGACAGAAUUACACUGCGUUCAGUGGAUUGAGCGAAUGAAACGUCUUUAUGACUAAAACUCUCAGAAGACAAAAACUACAUAAAACAGUCUGGAAGGCCUCGUUUUUAAUCCACGUUAAAUUCAUAAUGGCGUCUACCCUGAUUAAAGCCCUGUUCACACCAAGAACGAUAACGAUAUUGGCGUCCACACCAGCGGACGAUAUCAUGUUUAUUCCAAGCGCAGUGCGUCUGCCGCUUUAAAUUCUCGAGCUCAUUAUAGCAGGAUUGAUUCUGAUUGGCUGUCAAUGUUUGUAUCGUUCAUCAGCUGGAAAAAAUCGUUCUGAAAAUUAAUCCAACGAUAUCGUUUCUCUCUGCCUUUAUCGUUAUAGUUGUAGUGUGGACUAUUCUUUAAUAUUGAGAACGUUUUUUAGAACUAUAUCGUUAUCGUUAUCUUUAUAGUUAUCGCGCUUGGUGUGAACAGGCCAAGAACAAUAACUAUAAAGAUAACGUGAGAAAAUCAUUCUCAAUAUUAAAGAUUAGCAGAGUCCACACCACAGCUUUAAUGAUAAAUGCACGGAGAAACGAUAUCGUUGGAUUCAUUUUCAGAACGAUUUUUCUCCAGCUGAUGAAUGAUAAAAACACUGACAGCCAAUCAGAAUCAAUCCUGCUAUAACCAGCUGGAGAAUUUAAAGCGGCGGAUAAAUAUAGUUAUCUUCAGAGUUAUUGUUCUUGGUGUGAACGGGCCGUAAAGGUCUAUUUAGAUCACUUUGGAUCACGGGGUAUUGAAUGUGCAUUUAUUUUUACAGUUUCAUCUGCUUAAAUCAAAAAAUGUAGCAUCAAAACACUUAGAGCAGCUGUAAACGUGUUUGUCUAAUCCAAAUUCUCAUAUGAUACAGCUCAAAACAAAAUUUGUUUUAUUUUUGCCAAUGUAUUAUCUUUGAUUUUGAAGACUAUGAAUGGGAAAUAUGGAAGGAUUCAUUAUAAAGACAAAUGUAGCAUAAUCCGAGGUCAUCCGUGUGGAUUUGUAGUGUUCUGAAGGUACAAAGUUUAGUUUUCACAUCACAUCGAUUAUUUUUAAUCUUUAUUUUUACUUAAACUGUGUAAGCUGAUGAUUUGUUUUAUGUAUAUCUAUACAUUGUAUAUCCAUGAAUUGUGUAUAUUGGUGAUGAAACUGCUGUUGGAGAGGCCCUCUAUAGACGGGACACGCCACUCGACAACUAGAGGCUAAAUCGGCAAUAAAAAGCAAUGAAAUUCCUCCGAUUUAAAUCAUUUAAAAGACUAACAGCUCUGGAGCAGAUGUCCGUCUGAGAGGACCUCUAUGUGUUUCUGUUUGUUCUCGUUCUUCUAAUUGAUAAUCACAGCUGGGUUUGAUUUUGUAUUCUGUGGAAGUAGGUGGAGAAAAAAAACUAUUACACUGGAUGUUUUUUAUACAUAUGAAUAUAAUAUACAACGUACAUCAUUUAAGAGAUGUCUGUUACACAUCAGAACAAUAAACAGAGAGAACCAAUACUGUUGUGUUUGUGGCCGUUUCUUGUGUAAUCAUUGACCUGUGAGAUGCUAACAAGGAGGUCAGUAUCAAAGCAGUCAUCUCACGAGUAAUCAAAUAGUCCUUUCUCUUUAGAAAUUUGAUUAUACUAUUAAAACAUGUAUCUUUCAGACCUUUCCGGUUCCACUCAGUCCUAAAGUUAACAGUUAAAAACACAAGUUUCGUUGUCAGAUACAAACGUGGUGCAAGCCGGGAGUGAAAACUUUGAACCGGAUGAUUAUUUUGUUUAAAUAUCAUUAUUUUCUAUUUGGUACUACUGGGGUCCGGAUGACUUAUUUUGUUUAAAUAUCAUAUUUUCAUUUGGUACUACGUGGGGGUAGAAAACUUUUGAACCGGAUGAUUUGUUUUGUUUAAAUAUCAUAUUUUUCAUUUGGUACUACUGGGGGUGAAAACUUUUGGAUAAUUAUUUUGUUUAAAUAUAAUCUUAUAUUACUAACUAUAAGAUAGUAACAUGUAGUAUGAAUUACAUAAUCAGAUUCCAAAUAUUAAGUACAUGUAAUUAGAUUAUAUAGAUUUUCAAAUAAUUGUAAUGAGACUAGUUACUUUUUACUGAUUACAUAAUUACAUAUUAU
rnacentral:lncRNA from 1 species